GUCGAGCGGAGAUGUACUGAAGAUUUAUCGGAUGUACAUCUUAGCGGCGGACGGGUGAGUAACGCGUGGGCAACCUGCCUUCCACUGGGGGAUAACACAGGGAAACCUGUGCUAAUACCGCAUGACGUCACAUAGGGCAUCCUGUGUGAUCAAAGGAGUGAUCCGGUGGAAGAUGGGCCCGCGUCCGAUUAGCUAGUUGGUGAGGUAACGGCUCACCAAGGCGACGAUCGGUAGCCGGACUGAGAGGUUGGCCGGCCACAUUGGGACUGAGACACGGCCCAGACUCCUACGGGAGGCAGCAGUGGGGAAUAUUGCGCAAUGGGGGGAACCCUGACGCAGCGACGCCGCGUGAAGGAAGAAGGCCUUCGGGUUGUAAACUUCUUUGAUGAGGGACGAAGGAAGUGACGGUACCUCAAAAACAAGCCACGGCUAACUACGUGCCAGCAGCCGCGGUAAUACGUAGGUGGCGAGCGUUGUCCGGAAUUACUGGGUGUAAAGGGCGUGUAGGCGGGGAUGCAAGUCAGAUGUGAAAUACCGCGGCUUAACCGCGGGGCUGCAUCUGAAACUGUGUCUCUUGAGUGUCGGAGAGG
rnacentral:rRNA from 1 species